rnacentral:lncRNA from 1 species
CAUUCUGGGGUUCGUUUAGAGGUUUGAAUUUUCUCGGAGAAAGACAGGCCGGCCACGAGGAAAACAGAAACAAGCCGCAGCAACAUCUAAGCCCUUGAAAGGAUCCUGAGAGAGGGGGGAAAGGGAAAACAGCAGCCACCAGCCCAACCACUUGUGUCUUCUGCCCCUUCCCACCUAUCUUGCCCACCCCACCAGCCCACGCUGCUUGGGACUUGAAAUCUGUGGCCGAAGGACCGUCACUACAUAACUUCAAAAAUAAUCAACCACCCUCCCUUCCCAAACCACCCAAAUUCACUCAUCCAGCGUUUACUUUUUUGAAUCCACUCAGAACUUUUUUCUGCGACCCCCCUCCCUAAAUGGAGUUGGGUGGGGGGGAAAUGAAUACUGAGUUGGCCUUUAUUUUUUAAAAGACUUUUUGAUCCAAUGAGGCCCCCUAAAUAAUUGAGUUUUGGGUCCUGGUUGGUUGUUUUAUUUUUUUUCCUCCAAAAUUUUACCCCCUCCCCCCUGAGCCCGAGGUGCUGACGUCGCAAAAAAAUUGGAUAGAACCAGUGGGCCUCCUGCAUUUGGUCGCUUUGUGUAAUGAGAAUCGGGGGAAGAAACCACCA